CCUCUUGAAACGAAGGAAAGCUUCAUUCUUGCAGAUUCAUAGGGGUUUAUACGCCGCUUCGUCCUCUCCAUUGCGCCUUAGCUUGUCGUCUCCAUUACGCUUCGUCGUCUACACUACUGAAACGAGAGAAAACCUUCAUUGCUGCACAGAUUCCUAAGGCCAUUUUCCUAAGAUCUUCAUGCAUAUUACUGCUGCCAAUCAAUGAGAACAAAGAGGAAGUGCUUAAGAAAGCAAGAGAAAUCUAU